rnacentral:rRNA from 1 species
GAUGAACGCUGGCGGCGUGCCUAAUACAUGCAAGUCGAGCGAACGGACGAGAAGCUUGCUUCUCUGAUGUUAGCGGCGGACGGGUGAGUAACACGUGGAUAACCUACCUAUAAGACUGGGAUAACUUCGGGAAACCGGAGCUAAUACCGGAUGGUAUUUUGAACCGCAUGGUUCAAAAGUGAAAGACGGUCUUGCUGUCACUUAUAGAUGGAUCCGCGCUGCAUUAGCUAGUUGGUAAGGUAACGGCUUACCAAGGCAACGAUGCAUAGCCGACCUGAGAGGGUGAUCGGCCACACUGGAACUGAGACACGGUCCAGACUCCUACGGGAGGCAGCAGUAGGGAAUCUUCCGCAAUGGGCGAAAGCCUGACGGAGCAACGCCGCGUGAGUGAUGAAGGCCUUCGGAUCGUAAAACUCUGUUAUUAGGGAAGAACAUAUGUGUAAGUAACUGUGCACAUCUUGACGGUACCUAAUCAGAAAGCCACGGCUAACUACGUG